UUUAGGGCUAUUACUUAAGCAAUAUCUUCAGAGUCUUCUCUGAAGAUUUUAGAACAUUUCCUUUAAGCUGGGUUGUGGGUACAUGAAUAUCCAUUAUAUUGAUAUAAUUCUCUAAUAUAAUUAUAUUCUCCUAAUAUAAUUCUCUUUUAGCAUGCCUAAAAAACUUUACUUAAAAACUAUACUCAAUGAAAUAAGGCAUUUAAUAAUCAAAUGUUUAUAAACAAAAGUGUCAAAGUAGUUCAAACUCCACCAUUAAAGUGAGGAAAAACAACUUACAUGAGAGCUGACUAAAAGACAGCUCUUUUAGUCUUUUCAGCUUUUCACAUGCCAACCACAUGCCAGGCAUCUCCUGGCUUGUCACCAUUGUUCACAUUCUACACUCCAGCUAAAAGUUACACUCACGGUUUUUAAAACAUGCCUUGCAUUUCCCCUGCUCCUUCAUUUGAUCUGUUUCUUCUGCAACGUAUUCUCUUCUCCAUCUCAACCUGCCAAAAUCCUUACCAGUUUUCAAGCUUUGAUUCAACGUUUUCAAAAUAACUCCUCCACAGUGUGCUAUUAAUAAUAACAGCUAUGUGCGCAUGGCAUCAGCAGUGCAGCCAUUGGGUAUGAUCAUAAAGGCUC
rnacentral:lncRNA from 1 species